UGGUGGAUUGAUUUGUCUGGUUAAUUCCGAUAACGAACGAGACCUUAUCCUGCUAAAUAGUCACGGCAAGUUUUACUUACCGACUUGACUUCUUAGAGGGACUAUUAGUGUCUAACUAAUGGAAGUUUGAGGCAAUAACA
rnacentral:rRNA from 1 species